rnacentral:rRNA from 1 species
CUACGUGCCAGCAGCCGCGGUAAUACGUAGGGUGCGAGCGUUAAUCGGAAUUACUGGGCGUAAAGCGAGCGCAGACGGUUACUUAAGCAGGAUGUGAAAUCCCCGGGCUCAACCUGGGAACUGCGUUCUGAACUGGGUGACUAGAGUGUGUCAGAGGGAGGUAGAAUUCCACGUGUAGCAGUGAAAUGCGUAGAGAUGUGGAGGAAUACCGAUGGCGAAGGCAGCCUCCUGGGAUAACACUGACGUUCAUGCUCGAAAGCGUGGGUAGCAAACAGGAUUAGAUACCCUGGUAGUCCACGCCGUAAACGAUGAUUACUAGGUGUUGGGGGUCGAACCUCAGCGCCCAAGCUAACGCGAUAAGUAAUCCGCCUGGGGAGUACGUACGCAAGUAUGAAACUCAAAGGAAUUGACGGGGACCCGCACAAGCGGUGGAGCAUGUGGUUUAAUUCGACGCAACGCGAGGAACCUUACCAGCGUUUGACAUC